rnacentral:misc_RNA from 1 species
GAUGAAGAACGCAGCGAAAUGCGAUAAGUAAUGUGAAUUGCAGAAUUCAGUGAAUCAUCGAAUCUUUGAACGCACAUUGCGCCCCUUGGUAUCCCGAGGGGCGUGCCUGUUCGAGCGUCAUUUCACCACUCAAGCCUGGCUUGGUGUUGGGCGACGUCCUCUUUGGGGACGCGCCUCGAAACGCUCGGCGGCGUGGCACCGGCUUUAAGCGUAGCAGAAUCUUUCGCUUUGGAAGUCGGGGCCCCGUCUGCCGGAAGACCUGCUCGCAAGGUUGACCUCGGAUCAGGCAGGGAUACCCGCUGAACUUAAGCAUAUCAAUAAGCGGAGGA